rnacentral:rRNA from 1 species
GUGGGGAAUAUUGGGCAAUGGGCGCAAGCCUGACCCAGCAACGCCGCGUGAGGGAAGAAGGCUUUCGGGUUGUAAACCUCUGUCCUUGGUGACGAAACAAAUGACGGUAGCCAAGGAGGAAGCCCCGGCUAACUACGUGCCAGCAGCCGCGGUAAUACGUAGGGGGCGAGCGUUGUCCGGAAUUACUGGGCGUAAAGGGUGCGUAGGUGGCCUUUUAAGUUGGAUGUGAAAUACCCGGGCUUAACUUGGGGGGUGCAUCCAAAACUGGGAGGCUAGAGUGAAGGAGAGGAAAGCGGAAUUCCUAGUGUAGCGGUGAAAUGCGUAGAUAUUAGGAGGAACACCAGUGGCGAAGGCGGCUUUCUGGACUGUAACUGACACUGAGGCACGAAAGCGUGGGGAGCAAACAGGAUUAGAAACCCGUGUAGUCC